rfam:Operophtera brumata OBRT01_Sc01071, whole genome shotgun sequence.
UAAUAGGCUCUUUUCAGAGCCACUUUAACUUAAGCUGGUCUCUGACU